rnacentral:rRNA from 1 species
UACAGAGAGUGCAAGCGUUACUCGGAAUUACUGGGCGUAAAGCGCGCGUAGGUGGAUCUUUAAGUCGGAUGUGAAAGCCCUGGGCUUAACCUAGGAAUUGCAUUCGAUACUGGAUGUCUCGAGUAUGGUAGAGGGAAGUGGAAUUUCCGGUGUAGCGGUGAAAUGCGUAGAUAUCGGAAAGAACACCAGUGGCGAAGGCGGCUUCCUGGACCAAUACUGACACUGAAGCGCGAAAGCGUGGGGAGCAAACAGG